rnacentral:pre_miRNA from 1 species
AAAGUACUCCCUCCGUCCCAACAUUCUUGUCUUAGAUUUGUCUAGAUACGGAUGUAUCAAGUCACAUUUUAGUAUUAGAUACAUCCGGAUCUAGACA